rnacentral:ncRNA from 1 species
CACCGCGAGGUGGAAUCUGAAGGAAGCCGGAGGCAAACCACCGACCUGACGAACAGGAACUGCAUCAGGCAUACGACGAUGGGUAAGUCUGCUAAACAAGAUGAAGCCCGAAGCUACACGGAAUCCGAGGUGUAAAUGCAGCAGGUACAUGGUGGGAAAGAGC